rnacentral:rRNA from 1 species
GGGACAGACGGCCCCGUAACACGGGCCGCCCCCGCCAGAGGACCCCCUAACUCUGUUUCUAUAAUGUUUCUUCUGAGUAAACAAGCAAAUAAAUUAAAACUUUCAACAACGGAUCUCUUGGCUCUGGCAUCGAUGAAGAACGCAGCGAAAUGCGAUAAGUAAUGUGAAUUGCAGAAUUCAGUGAAUCAUCGAAUCUUUGAACGCACAUUGCGCCCGCCAGUAUUCUGGCGGGCAUGCCUGUUCGAGCGUCAUUACAACCCUCAGGCCCCCGGGCCUGGCGUUGGGGAUCGGCGGAAGCCCCCUGCGGGCACAACGCCGUCCCCCAAAUACAGUGGCGGUCCCGCCGCAGCUUCCAUUGCGUAGUAGCUAACACCUCGCAACUGGAGAGCGGCGCGGCCACGCCGUAAAACACCCAACUUCUGAAUGUUGACCUCGAAUCAGGUAGGANUACCCGCUGAACUUAAGCAUAUCAUUAAGCGGGAGGAAAA